rnacentral:rRNA from 1 species
UACGAAGGGGGCUAGCGUUGUUCGGAUUUACUGGGCGUAAAGCGCACGUAGGCGGAUCGUUAAGUCGGGGGUGAAAUCCUGGAGCUCAACUCCAGAACUGCCUUCGAUACUGGCGAUCUUGAGUCCGGAAGAGGUGAGUGGAACUCCUAGUGUAGAGGUGGAAUUCGUAGAUAUUAGGAAGAACACCAGUGGCGAAGGCGGCCCGCUGGGCAGUGGCUGACGCUGAGGCGCGACAGCGUGGGGAGCAAACAGG